CCCUUCCCCUUGCCCCACCAAUAGCUCCAUCUCAGGCAGCUUUUUGUGCAUUUUCGGGCUAUUCACUUUGUUUUGCCUCUUUCAGAACAUGACUGCUGCUGUCAAGUGAAUCCUUUGCAGAUCUUCUGUGAAGAGUGGGAUGAUGUCGGCCAGGCAGCAGAGCUUUCUGUGUAUGCUGGCAGACUGAUACAGAAUCAGGUGGUUACGCUGCUGAGGUUUGCAACAACAGCAGAGAGAAGCAACAGCUAAGGGACCUAUUUCUCAAUAUCAAAUGUGUGAUAAACUUU
rnacentral:lncRNA from 1 species